rnacentral:rRNA from 1 species
AGAACGAACGCUGGCGGCGUGGAUAAGACAUGCAAGUCGAACGGGACUUUUCCGAGUAGCAAUACCUGGAAAAGUUUAGUGGCGAACGGGUGCGUAACACGUGAGCGACCUGCCUUAUCGAGGGGGAUAGCCGGCCCAACGGCCGGGUAAUACCGCAUACGCUUGUUCGGGGGCAUCCCUGGACAAGGAAACCUCCGGGGCGAUGAGAGGGGCUCGCGGCCUAUCAGCUAGUUGGCGGGGUAACGGCCCACCAAGGCGAUGACGGGUAGC